UUGACAUAUACCGGAUCGUUCCAGAGAUGGUUCUUCCCCUUUGGGGUCGGUAUACAGGUGGUGCAUGGUUGUCGUCAGCUCGUGUCGUGAGAUGUUGGGUUAAGUCCCGCAACGAGCGCAACCCUCGUUCCAUGUUGCCAGCACGUGAUGGUGGGGACUCAUGGGAGACUGCCGGGGUCAACUCGGAGGAAGGUGGGGAUGACGUCAAAUCAUCAUGCCCCUUAUGUCUUGGGCUUCACGCAUGCUACAAUGGCCGGUACAAAGGGUUGCGAUACUGUGAGGUGGAGCUAAUCCCAAAAAGCCGGUCUCAGUUCGGAUUGAGGUCUGCAACUCGACCUCAUGAAGUCGGAGUCGCUAGUAAUCGCAGAUCAGCAACGCUGCGGUGAAUACGUUCCCGGGCCUUGUACACACCGCCCGUCAAGUCACGAAAGUCGGUAACACCCGAAGCCGGUGGCCCAACCCUUGUGGAGGGAGCCGUCGAAGGUGGGACUGGCGAUUGGGACU
rnacentral:rRNA from 1 species